AUGAUAGCAGUUAGGGGUGCAAUGGAAAUAUCUCAUCGUCGACACCAAACAUCAAAGAUAAGUGGUCCUCAUUCAUUGUUAUUGCUUAUAGUUCAAAAUUUUGCUUUGCUGCUAUUAUCUAAAUAUUGGUCUGGAUUAAUCAAAAUAUAUUUCUGCUGGAUUACGGAUGCAAAUCCAUUAUUAAUGAAUACCUGCAGAGUUCCCAGAGGUUUCCCCAUAACACACCGAUCUCGUCGUAAAGCAAGGACAGUUUGA